rfam:Oryza meridionalis cultivar OR44 (W2112) chromosome 3, whole genome shotgun sequence.
AACCACACUAUCAAUUAAUAGAUUCACCCGCGAGAUGACGUGGUUGUUUCACCUAGGACGAGAACAUGGCAUCCUAUUACUAGCCAUCGCACGAAAUUAAUAGGAUGCCAAGUCCUUAUCCUAGAUGGAAUAACCACAUCAUCGUAUGAAUCCAUUUAUCGAUAGUGUGGUU